GAUCCUGGCUCAGGAUGAACGCUGGCGGCGUGCCUAACACAUGCAAGUCGAGCGAGAAAUCAUAAAAUGAAACUUCGGUAGAUUUUUAAGAUGGAAAGCGGCGGACGGGUGAGUAACGCGUAGGCAACCUGCCUUAUGCAGAGGGAUAGCCAUUGGAAACGAUGAUUAAAACCUCAUAACGCUGGAGAGUCACAUGGUUUUCCGGCCAAAGAUUUAUCGGCAUAAGAUGGGCCUGCGU
rnacentral:rRNA from 1 species